rnacentral:rRNA from 1 species
CGUUCCCGGACCUUGUACACACCGCCCGUCAAGCCAUGGAAGUUGGGAGGACCUGAAGACAGUUGCUGUAAGGCGCUGUUUGGGGUCAAACCGAUGACUGGGGCU